UUCCUACGGGAGGCAGCAGUAGGGAAUCUUCCGCAAUGGGCGCAAGCCUGACGGAGCAAUACCGUGUGAGGGAUGACAGCCUGUGGGUUGUAAACCUCUUUUUUCAAGGAGGAAGAUCUGACGUGUACCUGAAGAAUAAGCAUCGGCUAACUCCGUGCCAGCAGCCGCGGUAAGACGGAGGAUGCAAGUGUUAUCCGGAAUCACUGGGCGUAAAGCGUCUGUAGGUGGUUUAAUAAGUCAGUUGUUACAAAUUGAGGCUUAACCUUAAAUAAGCAACAGAUACUGUUAAACUUGAGUAUAGUAGAGGUAAAAGGAAUUUCCAGUGGAGCGGUGAAAUGCGUAGAGAUUGGAAAGAACACCGAUGGCGAAGGCAUUUUACUGGGCUAUAACUGACACUCAGAGACGAAAGCUAGGGUAGCAAAUGGGAUUAGAUACCCCAGUAGUCCUAGCCGUAAACGACGGAUACUAGAUGUUGCACGUAUCGACCCGUGCAGUGUCAAAGCUAACGCGUUAAGUAUCCCGCCUGGGGAGUAUGCUCGCAAGGGUGAAACUCAAAGGAAUUGACGGAAU
rnacentral:rRNA from 1 species